CAGCCGCCGCGGGAAUACAGAGGGUGCAAGCGUUAAUCGGAUUUACUGGGCGUAAAGGGCGCGUAGGUGGUUAUGUAAGUGAGAUGUGAAAUCCCCGGGCUCAACCUGGGAACUGCAUCUUAUACUGCGUAGCUGGAGUGCAGUAGAGGGUAGUGGAAUUUCCGGUGUAGCGGUGAAAUGCGUAGAUAUCGGAAGGAACACCAGUGGCGAAGGCGGCUACCUGGACUGACACUGACACUGAGGCGCGAAAGCGUGGGGAGCAAACAGGAUUAGAUACCCCUGUAGUCCCUGUCUCUUAUAC
rnacentral:rRNA from 1 species